rnacentral:rRNA from 1 species
AUGUAUAUCCUUUCAAGUUCACUGAUGUGGUUACCACUACAACACACGUCCCUCCAAGGACCAAGGGUGGGCAUGAUCUUCUACAAGUUUUCGGUGAUGUACGUCGUGAAGCGGGACGGGCAGACGGAGAUGGUGCACUUUGACAAGAUCACGGUGCGGCUCAAGAAGCUCAGCUAUGGGCUCAGCCAGGAGCACUGCGACCCCGUGCUUGUCGUGCAGAAGGUCUGCGUCACGGUAUACAUGGGCAUCACCACCAGCCAGCUCGACGAGCUCACCGCCGAGACCGCCGUCGUGCUCACCGCCUCCUAG